AGUGCUUGUGACACGAAAAAGCAUGUUUAUUUCAUAAUACACGCGGUAUUUUAUGCUCCUGAAUGAUAUGGACCGCUUGGAUGUGUGUGGAAGCGAUCGCUAUAUUUAUUUAGUUUUUUGAAUCCCGCGCCAGGAAAAUGAGUGACUUCCGGCUUCGGUCUCGCAUUGAGGAGGAGGGCGCUGUGACGUGUACGGUAGAAGACGUCCUCUUCACGCUACAGUGUACUGUUGUGUAUGAGGACGAAGGAUUCAGCUGAUUUUGCGGAUUAAUACUUUUAUUUUUUGCAUCACGCCAGCCAAACGGCUGCAGAAAAAUCAUUCUGUAUGCGGGAGAGGCGUAUGCGCCUUUUUGGAGUUUCAAAAGGUUCCCAUUCACCGUGGAUAUUUACUGUGGGACCAUUGGACUUACAAGGAAUAAAAUUGUAGAAAGGCUCAUCAAACAGAGGAGGCAGAGCCGUAGGAGGAGGGCGACGGAUCCACUCAAUGUGGAGGCGAGCCGUGGAGGACUUCUGAGGACGACCAUUGUCGGUUGCCUUAAUCUAAGGAGAGAAGUCAUCAUGCUGAAUGGUAAAGUAAGUAGGUGACAGUCUCGCAGUAGUUUUAUUGACACUAAAUUUGAAUAAAUUGGUUAUUUUCACAGUUGACCUUGAAUAGUAAGACAAAAAUACGACUGGACCAGUGCCUUUAAUUGAUAAAACAGUGUGGACAACCUCAUUCCCAGGAAAAGAGACGAGGACCCACAGUGGCCCUUGAGGACUGGUUUGGACACCCCUGCUUUAAGUGUUGAACCUGUAUACUUUUGCCUCAAUAGCUUGCUAGAAUGUUUUAUAUUUUCAAUAUAACCCCCCAAUGCAUAUUGUAAAUCCAUUUGCCUCAAUUUGGAGGAUGUUGCACUGGUAUUGCUCCAAAAUAAAUAACUUAAAACCGUCCGAUAUACGCCCGUCUGUACUGGCUUGUGCUUUUGGAGUCACAGAGCUUGUCAUUUUAGCAACUGUAACUAGGUGAAGCGCUUUUGUGAAAGGUCAUUCUGAUAUUUAUUAUUGAAUCGAGUCAUUAUUAAAGACCCUAUCAAGAGAAAGAUCACUUGCACAUACUGUUAGGAUAUCGUAGCUCCCAGCUGGAAAGGCCUUGCGAGAUGACACCAUUGCCGUCUUGGGAUCAAUGAAGAACUUCCCGUCCUCAUUGCCAUCAACGAUGCUAUAAGAAAGGUCACUGUUGGGUCCAUCGUCACGAUCAUAGGCAAAGACCCGAUAGAUAGGCUCUCCUUUCUUUCUCCGCUCCCUUUCCGGUAGUUUGACCUGAUAGACCUUCUCUGGAAAUGUCGGCUUGUUGUCAUUUUCAUCUAGGACCUGGACCAUCACCCACACCGUACUCUGCCUCGGACUGGGUCCACCAUCUGACACCAAAACCUUAAAAAGGAGAAGAUAAUUAUGAAUGUCUUUGAAUUAAUGCACGAGGUUAAACUGUUUACGAGUUUCAGAAAUCCAUUAUUCAACAUAUUGUUACGUUUUCUAAGAAAAAGUUGUACAACCCCUUGCAAAAAGUAUGGAAUCACCAGUCUCGG